GUCAGUGGUGGUCGUCGCCGGACAGUCUUACUCACAAUACGUGUCCGCUUCUCAUUCUCCACCGUUUUGCUCUCGUGUUACAGAUUAUCAUCUCUCUCGAUCAAAGACUAUUCGCUACCUCCAACCGCUUUGCAAUUAGAGCAUCGUCCCUCUUUCCUUUUUCUCUCUCCACCCGAAUGUUCACUUCUACAUGUUCCUAAUUUUCCAGAUACCACCAACGGUGGCGCUUCUCUGAAGUCACCUUUUGACUGAUAUGUUCAACCAGUCGGAAGGAAAGGGAACUAGAGGCCACCUCCUUGCCGCCGAUUGUGGCUGGAGAAAUCGACUGAUAUGGUCGAUUUCUACUACUAUUGAAAGUCUUGAAGCCGGUGCCUCCAUCGACCGCUACUGCAUCUUCGUUCCAUCCCCGGACCAACAACGAGAGCACCACUUUUCUCAGCAAACAAACCCUAAACCUUACUUCACAUAACAAAUAGACCAAGUUUGUUUUUUUUUCUUUAUGUCUCUCACCACAUUCCAACUUCACUAUCGAGGAAGCACCUUUCAAGGCAAUAUUAUCGGCUACACCCAAAUCGAUUCAAUCUCUGAUUAUACUCGAUAAUUUACUUUUGAGUUGUUUGAUUUUGAUUUUCAGAUAGAAUCCAAUUGCUUUAUCUCCAAGAAGAAUUAGAGAUUUGUCUUGUGUGUACGCUAUUUAAUUUCCGACUCUAUUUUUACCCAAACCAUUUCUAUUGGUGAUUGCUAUAAUUAAAACACACCUCUCAUUAUAUGCUUAGUUGUCGAUUUUGAUGUCUACUGUGUUGUAAACACAAUUUAUAUUGCUAGGUCAUGAAUGCAUGCAAUUGGAGGUUUCAGCUGCAAUCAGCUUUAAUUAUUUGUGGAAGAUAUCAUUGAAGAUGCAGAGCAUGGAAGCUAGGAUUCCCAUGCCAGUUGCACUAGCACAAGAGACCGGUUCUGAUUUCUCCGAUCAUUCUAAUCAAUGAUCGAUUUCCGAUUUCCGACGAGUACGUGUUUCGGUUAAAUUUAGAUUGCAAUUUUGUUUCGUACAAUUAUAUUAAAGCUCUAGAUGUUCCUUUUCAAUUUAGUAAACAACAUGCAUUCGACUUCACCAUCUAUUGAUUUCUGAAUUUUUUUCUGUAACAAGCAAUUGAUUUGAGGUAAAAUAUGGUUAUUUUGUAACACUGAAUUAUGGAGUAGAGAAUGGUUAGAUUGAACACUGAAACCGAAAAAUCUACAGGUCAGGAGAAAGAAAUUUCAAUCGGCCCGUUGGAGGUAGUGGACACAGAUGCCAAUGUUGAUUUCCCUACUUGGAAACAAUGUUGGAUUCCCCACUUGGAAUUGGAAAAAAGCAAUACAACUUGAAUGUGUAAAAAGUGGUUCUUCCAUUAUGAAUGCAAGUUGCACAAUUGAAAGCGCAACUUUAUAAGAUCAGAAGAUCACCCACCAAAGGGAUAUUAAUCACAGGACUUACACAUAAUGGAUCUGGGAUUUUAGCAAGUUAGGUACACACCGGAAAGCAUGGGCAAUCACACUGUUAUAACAUAGGGUAUGAAUGCCAUAAGAAAUCUAUUUUUUCAUGGAUAUUAGAUUUGAUAUAUUUUCCUUAAUUCUGAUUAUUGUUACAAGAUUGUACUUUGAAAGUUCUAUUUAUUUGGGUUGCUUUUUAAAAGUACAUUGAUAAUAUGUGCUAACAUGCAUAGAUUUUAUAUAACAUCCUUCUUAAUUA